GGCGAACGCUGGCGGCGUGCUUAACACAUGCAAGUCGAACGGAAAGGCCCUGCUCUUGUGGGGUGCUCGAGUGGCGAACGGGUGAGUAACACGUGAGUAACCUGCCCUUGACUUUGGGAUAACUUCAGGAAACUGGGGCUAAUACCGGAUAGGAGCUCCUGCUGCAUGGUGGGGGUUGGAAAGUUUCGGCGGUUGGGGAUGGACUCGCGGCUUAUCAGCUUGUUGGUGGGGUAGUGGCUUACCAAGGCUUUGACGGGUAGCCGGCCUGAGAGGGGGACCGGCGACAUUGGGACUGAGGGAGGGCCCAGAAUCCUACGGGAGGCAACAGUGGGGAGUAUUGCACAAUGGGCGGAAGCCUGAUGCAGCAGCGCCGCGUGCGGGAUGACGGCCUUCGGGUUGUAAACCGAUUUCGACGGUGACGAGGCGUGAGUGACGGUAAUGGAUAAAGAAGCACCGGCUAACUACGUG
rnacentral:rRNA from 1 species